UAAAAAAAAACCUAAGUGCCUUUGAAAUACUUUAUGGGAGACCAUAUGGGGUACAGAAAGGAAUAUCUACCUAAAUUGGGGAGGAGACCUUAACCACCUAUAUGAUUGCUUUAGAAAAACAGCUUAGAGAAACUGAAAAAUGUGGCUGGAACCCGAAGUCGAGGCUUGGUGUAAGAGACGGUCCAAAAAUCCCUCAUCUGCCUCACGAUCAUCGCCGAAAACAGAGACUGAACACAGGAAUCCUGGCCUGGCUGAGGUGGGAUUGUCUGCCAAGUGUUGCCUACGGGUGUGCCCACUGGGAACUGCAACGGACCCCAUAACAAUGGCUGUAGAUUUCCCAACCUCUUGGCCAGUUGCCCCUCGCUUCUGAAAAGGACUAUAAAGGGACCUUCUAAAAUAACCGAGAUCGGAGAUCUCCCCACGGAAAGAAGACGAAUCUAUUGGUGGAAGACCACGAGGACUUCGUCUCAUCCGUUGGUAGCUAUUGCCCCUCUUUUUCCCCCUCUCUACUUUGUUUCUCUCUCUCUCUCUCUUACUCUCUUCUAUUGCAUUACUCUGUUGUGGGCACUUAAUAAAGGUGCACUGUUUUGAUUAAAACUGAAAUCUCUUGUGUCCUUUUACACUCUGAGAUCGAUAAACGAACCAUCACGACCCCCGCCUGCAUUAGCGGAUCGUGACACUUGGACAGUCCUGUACAUGACAUUCAGCCUGGAGAUUAUGUAUAUGUUAAGUCUCUUACAGAAAAACCUCUGGAACCACAGUGGGGAGGACAAUUCCAGGUGCUUCUCAUCACUUACACCGCGAUUAAGAUCAGAGAGCAGAGCGCAUGGAUUCACCAUACUUGGGUAAAGAAGGCUCCAGAGGCCCCUUGGAAAGUGACCCCUGGGGAUGAUGAACUGAAUUUGAAGUUUACCCAAACAAAAUGAAAAUAUUACGGUGGCACACAAGUAUAACCCAGAAAAUUGGGGUUUUUUCAGUCUCAAUUACAGCCUUAAGCUGAGAAGUUAUUCAUAGGAGAGAAGACAUAUGGUCCCAAGCCUUUAUGCAGUUUACUGGACUCCUGGGGAAAUAUUCUGAUUUAAAGGAUUUUAACCUGCUGACUGUGGUCAUGCAUGGGAACCAAGUGUAUAUAAAGCAAAAAUGGACAAAACAAAAAACUUGGCAACUUCAGGGAACUGUAAGAGAAG
rnacentral:lncRNA from 1 species